rnacentral:rRNA from 1 species
GACCAGACUCCUACGGGAGGCAGCAGUGGGGAAUAUUGCACAAUGGGGGAAACCCUGAUGCAGCGACGCCGCGUGAGUGAAGAAGUAUUUCGGUAUGUAAAGCUCUAUCAGCAGGGAAGAAAAUGACGGUACCUGACUAAGAAGCCCCGGCUAACUACGUGCCAGCAGCCGCGGUAAUACGUAGGGGGCAAGCGUUAUCCGGAUUUACUGGGUGUAAAGGGAGCGUAGACGGCAUGGCAAGUCAGAUGUGAAAGCCCGGGGCUCAACCCCGGGACUGCAUUUGGAACUGUCAGGCUGGAGUGCAGGAGAGGUAAGUGGAAUUCCUAGUGUAGCGGUGAAAUGCGUAGAUAUUAGGAGGGACACCAGUGGCGAAGGCGGCUUACUGGACUGUAACUGACGUUGAGGCUCGAAAGCGUGGGGAGCAAACAGGAUUAGAUACCCGGGUA